AAAGAAUCACAAUAGCUUCGGUUUUGUUUCGGAGGAAACCAAGCUUUAAAAGCGAUUUUUCUACCGAUGAAGUGUUUCAUACAUUUGACGUGCCAGAGACUACACAGAACCUAGCCAUCGGUGGUUUUGUUUUCUUGGUUGACGUUAUUAGAGUUCUCUUUUUCCGUGAGGUGUUUGGGAAUCUUCCAACUCCACAACUCCUACAUCUGCAGCUGCACCAGAGUUGGAUGCAAUGGUCUUGGCCAGGAAUGCCUUCAUAACCUGGCACAAAGCUAUUCGCAGCAGAGAAGAUGAAGUGUUAUUUCUGAGCAAGCAGCCAACAGUUGACCUUGGCAAAGGAGGGAGUUCCCUGCUUUGGUGAUGACAUUCAAAGCUUAUUUUUGUGGGCCUUAAUGCUGAAAUGAAGGAGUAGGCACUCUUCUUGCAAGAUGUUAAACACUUAAUUGAUGCCUGUAGGAUAGACAUGUCACUCAGCAGCUUCAGGAGACCUCUGUACAGAUGACCAGAUGUCAUAAUUGCAGAAAGUUUAAUCUGCUUUUAAUAGAGUAAGAAAAAAACUGCAGACGAUGGAGGGUUGCUCAGGUGUUGAUUGAUUUGGAGAACACCCAAUGGCCUACUUUGACAGUAGUCUUGACAUUUCUGUUGGAGAGGCAGAGAAAGGUGAUCGCUUAUGCUGACAACUUAUGAUGGUGACUGCAUGUAAUUUCAAAAUUUAUCAAAUUUCCUAAUUACUUCAAUUUAUAGAACAAGAGAUCACUUAUCCACAUGUUGUAGUUCAAUUUUAUCCUCUAGUUUAAUUUUGUCCAAACCAGUUCAAUUUUACUGAUUAGGGUUAAGCACUCCUUUUACUGAUUAGGGUUGAGCAUUCAUUUCACUGAUUAGUGUUAAGCACUCCUUUUACUGGUUAGGGUUAGGGAUGGUUCCCAAUGCUUUUCCAGCCAGUCAAACAAACAACACCAGUAUUGGUACACAGAAAUGGGUUUUUUACUUCUUGAAACAAAAUGAUUAACUGACAGAACCUCGUAAUAAGUAUUACUUGGCAAAUUCUUUACAUAGAUUAAAUAGCUUUCUUGCACGCUACAGAA